UACGAAGGGGGCUAGCGUUGCUCGGAAUUACUGGGCGUAAAGGGCGCGUAGGCGGACAGUCUAGUCAGAGGUGAAAGCCCAGGGCUCAACCUUGGAAUUGCCUUUGAUACUGGCUGUCUUGAGUUCGGGAGAGGUGAGUGGAAUGCCGAGUGUAGAGGUGAAAUUCGUAGAUAUUCGGCGGAACACCAGUGGCGAAGGCGACUCACUGGCCCGGUACCGACGCUGAGGCACGAAAGCGUGGGGAGCAAACAGG
rnacentral:rRNA from 1 species